GGAACGAGAUCCGCUGCAGUUGAGUGCCUGCAGUGGUGUCCCUGACACGUGGGCCCCACACAUGCAGGCCCACCUGUCAGUGGCCCAACUGCAGGCUGCCGAACUGCAGCGGAUCCCUUUCCUGUUUCCAUCGCCCAGUGAAAGCAG